UACGAAGAGGGCUAGCGUUGCUCGGAAUUACUGGGCGUAAAGCGCACGUAGGCGGUCUUUUAAGUCGGGGGUGAAAUCCUGGAGCUCAACUCCAGAACUGCCUUCGAUACUGGAAGACUUGAGUCCGGGAGAGGUGAGUGGAACUGCGAGUGUAGAGGUGAAAUUCGUAGAUAUUCGCAAGAACACCAGUGGCGAAGGCGGCUCACUGGCCCGGUACUGACGCUGAGGUGCGAAAGCGUGGGGAGCAAACAGG
rnacentral:rRNA from 1 species